rnacentral:misc_RNA from 1 species
GAUGAAGAACGUAGUGAAAUGCGAUAAGUAAUACGAAUUGCAGAAUUCAGUGAGUCAUCGAAUCUUUGAACGCACAUUGCGCCCUGUGGUAUUCCGCAGGGCAUGCCUGUUCGAGCGUCAUUUCAACCCUCAAGCCUCGCUUGGUGUUGGGCCCUGCCCGCCGCGGCCGGCCCUAAAGAUAGUGGCGGCGCCGCCUGGCCCUCAGCGUAGUACAGCUCUCGCUCCAGGGUCCGGCGGCAGCCUGCCAGAACCCCCCAACUCUGUGGUUGACCUCGGAUCAGGUAGGGAUACCCGCUGAACUUAAGCAUAUCAAUAAGCGGAGGA